rnacentral:tRNA from 1 species
GGGUUCCAGCGAAAAUCGAAUUCGCGCCACAUGUUUCCAAAACACGGAUCCUACCACUAGACUAUGGAACC